UUAAAUGUUUGUGGUCUCUUAGACCUUGUAGAAUGAAGGGGUCCUAAGGUACAAGGGAGAUGAACCUUGUUUGUCAUUUUACAGAAGGCAGAGGUUGAACAGCUUGAAGAAAACCCCAGGGCUCUCAAAACCUCUUGGUGGGAGCGAAAGAUAUGUGCUCUUUGUGAACUAUCCAAGCGCAUUUUUGUAAACGUGGAGCAUUCGGGCUAAAAUAGAAUCUUGGCUACAUUUUCUCUGUCAAUGGCCUGAGAGAAGGGAGCACUCUCUCAUCAGGCCCAGGGAUGGAAAAGCUGGCGCCCAGCCUAGAAUGGAGAUUUCUGAGUUUCAGAGAAACGGUGCAGGGAGAACGUCCCACGAGAAGCGGCUGAUCAGUGCAGUGUGCCUUUGCUCAAACACGCUUUCCCAGCUGAGCCCCACCCCUCCACUCCAACCCUCCCUGGCUGUUUUCUGCUCUGUUGGCUCCUCUGUGGCCUCGUUUUGGUCCAAUUCUGCUUGAGGAUCUUACUGUGCAGGGUUUCAAAGUAAUUCUGCAAAUGUGCACACAUCUCCUGAUUUAUGGACCAGAAGGCAGGGGAAACCUGUCCAGCAUUAAGCGCAUUCGUGAGAACAGACAUUUUAUAACAGCUGAUUAACUGUGUGCCAGGCCCAGUACAAGCACCCUGCAGAUACUAACAUACCUCCUUCUCCUCACAAAAAGGGGUGUGUAUGUGCUGCACUUGUCAACAUUCUACAGACAAAAAGACUUAGGCACAAGAUAUUACAUAACUUGCUCAAGCAAUGGAGUCUGUAUUUCAGGUCUACUUUGUGGUGCCGGAGCUCAUUUGUAGGCACAAUAUUAUAGCUCACACAUUGCCUAUUUCCUAGGGUCCCCUGAAAAUCAGACAGAACACUGACAAGGGCAUCCUUUAAUGAUCCAGCACAUCAGAACUAGAAAUGUUUGAGUAUGCUUUUGCUAGAUGCUUCUGACCCCCAAGUUACAAUGGAGAGGAUCUUGUAUUCCUUCCUUUUCUCCCUGUUCCUGCCCUUUCUCCCCUCCCCCCAAUCUCUUUCUCCCUGGUUCCUCCCUUCUUCCUGAUUAUUUGUCUUUUCACAUAGUGAUGUUGAUUUGCUUUCUUAGGUGAAGAAAUGUUGCAAGCUUAUCAAGAGUCACCUGACUGGAAGGCCCAGCUUGAACAAUUGUAGCAACAUCCUGACCAGCUACCUCGAGUGGACUCUUUUCAGAAGGGGCUUAUCCAGUGGACCGGGAGGUGUAGGGUAUAAGUAGAUGUGCUAGCAGAGCUCUGGAAAGUGAGCAUUGCAAAUGACACCAUUGGCCUGGAAGAUGGAGAUGAUAAAGAGACAGCAACUUCAGCAAAUUAACAGGCUGAAAGUCCAGAAUAGAAGAGGAGUUGGCUUCACUGAAUGGCUUUGGCCUUUUUAAAAAAAAAAUUGGUCAGACUAUUGUUGAUGUGCAUGUUAUUUCAGUUAAUUGGAAUCAAGAGCUGAAGCCUGCAAUACCUCAUGUAUUGUUUAAAUUUUGUCUUCAUUUCCAAUAAAACAAAGCGGUAAUCGUA